ACCCGCUGGAACUUUAAGCAUAUCAAUAAGCGGAGGAAAAGAAACUAACAAGGAUUCCCCUAGUAACUGCGAGUGAAGCGGGAAAAGCUCAAAUUUAAAAUCUGGCGGUCUUUGGCCGUCCGAGUUGUAGUCUGGAGAAGCGUUUUCCGUGCUGGACCGUGUACAAGUCUCCUGGAACGGAGCGUCGUAGAGGGUGAGAAUCCCGUCUUUGACACGGACUACCAGUGCUUUGUGAUGCGCUCUCGAAGAGUCGAGUUGUUUGGGAAUGCAGCUCAAAAUGGGUGGUGAAUUCCAUCUAAAGCUAAAUAUUGGCGAGAGACCGAUAGCGAACAAGUACCGUGAGGGAAAGAUGAAAAGCACUUUGGAAAGAGAGUGAAACAGUACGUGAAAUUGUUGAAAGGGAAACGCUUGAAGUCAGUCGCGUCGACCGAGACUCAGCCUCGCCUUGGCGUGGUGUACUUCUCGGCCGACGGGCCAGCAUCAAUUUUGAUCCUCGGAAAAAGGCUUGGGAAAGGUGGCACCUUCGGGUGUGUUAUAGUCCCUCGUCGCAUACGGGGGUCGGGAUUGAGGUACUCAGCGCGCAAGCGCUCGGGAUGCUGGCGUAAUGGCUUUAAACGACCCGUCUUGAAACACGGACCAAGGAGUCUAACAUGCCCGCGAGUGUUCGGGUGGAAAACCCGUGCGCGUAAUGAAAGUGAAAGUUGGGAUCCCUGUCGUGGGGAGCACCGACGCCCGGACCAGACCUUCUGUGACGGAUCUGCGGUAGAGCGUGUAUGUUGGGACCCGAAAGAUGGUGAACUAUGCCUGAAUAGGGUGAAGCCAGAGGAAACUCUGGUGGAGGCUCGUAGCGAUUCUGACGUGCAAAUCGAUCGUCAAAUUUGGGUAUAGGGGCGAAAGACUAAU
rnacentral:rRNA from 1 species